rnacentral:misc_RNA from 1 species
GAUGAAGAACGCAGCGAAAUGCGAUAAGUAGUGUGAAUUGUAGAAUUCAGUGAAUCAUCGAAUCUUUGAACGCACAUUGCGCCCCUUGGUAUUCCAUGGGGCAUGCCUGUUCGAGCGUCAUUUGUACCUUCAAGCUUUGCUUGGUGUUGGGUGUUUGUCUCGCCUUUGCGUGUAGACUCGCCUUAAAAUAAUUGGCAGCCGGCGUAUUGAUUUCGGAGCGCAGUACAUCUCGCGCUUUGCACUCAUAACGACAGCGUCCAAAAGUACAUUUUACACUCUUGACCUCGGAUCAGGUAGGGAUACCCGCUGAACUUAAGCAUAUCAAUAAGCGGAGGA